rnacentral:rRNA from 1 species
GACGAACGCUGGCGGCGUGCCUAAUACAUGCAAGUAGAACGCUGAAGGAGGAGCUUGCUCUUCUGGAUGAGUUGCGAACGGGUGAGUAACGCGUAGGUAACCUGCCUGGUAGCGGGGGAUAACUAUUGGAAACGAUAGCUAAUACCGCAUAAGAGUAGAUGUUGCAUGACAUUUACUUAAAAGGUGCAAUUGCAUCACUACCAGAUGGACCUGCGUUGUAUUAGCUAGUUGGUGGGGUAACGGCUUACCAAGGCGACGAUACAUAGCCGACCUGAGAGGGUGAUCGGCCACACUGGGACGGAGACACGGCCCAGACGACUACGGGAGGCAGCAGUAGGGAAUCUUCGGCAAUGGACGGAAGUCUGACCGAGCAACGCCGAGUGAGAGAAGAAGGGUUUCGGAUCGGAAAGAUCGGUUGUAAGAGAAGAACGAGUGUGAGAGUGGAAAGUUCACACUGUGACGGUAUCUUACCAGAAAGGGACGGCUAACUACGUG